rnacentral:rRNA from 1 species
GAUGAACGCUGGCGGCGUGCCUAAUACAUGCAAGUCGAGCGAACGGACGAGAAGCUUGCUUCUCUGAUGUUAGCGGCGGGCGGGUGAGUAACACGUGGAUAACCUACCUAUAAGACUGGGAUAACUUCGGGAAACCGGAGCUAAUACCGGAUGAUAUUUUGAACCGCAUGGUUCAAAAGUGAAAGACGGUCUUGCUGUCACUUAUAGAUGGAUCCGCGCUGCAUUAGCUAGUUGGUAAGGUAACGGCUUACCAAGGCAACGAUGCAUAGCCGACCUGAGAGGGUGAUCGGCCACCCUGGAACUGAGACACGGUCCAGACUCCUACGGGAGGCAGCAGUAGGGAAUCUUCCGCAAUGGGCGAAAGCCUGACGGAGCAACGCCGCGUGAGUGAUGAAGGUCUUCGGAUCGUAAAACUCUGUUAUUAGGGAAGAACAUAUGUGUAAGUAACUGUGCACAUCUUGACGGUACCUAAUCAGAAAGCCACGGCUAACUACGUG